UCUUGGCUUAGUUAGGAGGCGCAUACGAAAUGAGCAUUUCAUGCUUAUCCAGGUCGUUUGAGGGGCACUCAUCUGUAUUAACUAGAUGUGCUCCCAAGCAGCCUGUGACAUGU